AUCCCAUGACUUGGGCAUUUUCGAAUAAAGUCAGAGAAUCUAUACCAUGCCUCCGAGAAGGUCUCAUCAUCCUCUUGUUUAAAGUUGUGGAUGGCCUCUCUAAGCUU